rnacentral:piRNA from 1 species
UGACACUGGUGCCGGAUCUGCUGUGUGGUU